UUUUUUUUUUUUUUUUCUUUAUUUGCUGCUAGGAAGGGUACUGCGCUGCCUGUAUGGAAGUGUCCAGUUACUUGGGUACCUCUAGAAAACAGACUCCAGGUCACGUGAUGUUUUUUGUCGGAGCAAGGAUGAGUCACCCUCGCCUGAACGGCGCCUGGCUGUUGCUAUGCGUGUUCUGGGCCUGGGGGCUCACUUUGAGACUCAGACGAGAACGGAAGAAGGUGGGAUUACCGUAACUCGAGAAGCAGGAGAGCGAGUUGCACGGCUGGCCCUCCGUUUCAAGAGACCUCCUGACCCGAGUCUUCUUCAGCUGCGGAUGAUGACCUCUGGAACGGAGACAUGGAUCGUGCCACUGAGAACUUGCUCCGAGCAAAAAGUGUUUUUAUGAAAUCGUGUUAGCUCGUGCGAAUUCACUGAAUAGGAACAAGUGUGUUUUCAUUGAGACAGCUCUCGUCUGCAAACUUGCAUUGUCGGCCUAUUAAAGUCUGAGGUUAAUAAAAUCUGAGGUGAAACGGAGAAA